ACACGUUUUGUCACCAGUACUUUAUUAUAAUUAGAUCUUUUUUCAUUUCUAUUCUAGUGAUAUUUACCACUCCAGCACCGCGAGCUGCAAUAAUGAGUUUUUACAUUUUGUAAUGUCAUUUGAAGGCGGUGGCAAGCAAGCACAUAUGUACAUGAAGCAGCCAGCUGUGCAGAUGCGAGUUGUGUCGGAUGAAUGGAAUGAAUGUUGCGUGCACUUUUAACACGUUCGCUUUGCUCUGUUACCUACCGGUGGGUUACACACAUCUUUCAUUAAAGGCCACGGGGCCCCACCGGUAGUCACAUAUUAUUAUUUUGUAUGGAGGUUUGUUGGUGCAAGAUUUUUUGCUGUCUGGCAUAUAGAUAAGUCACUUCUUGGUUAUAGGAAAGCUAUAUGGAUAUUUGCUGUUUUAUUGAUUUUUUAGAUUCAAAACAAUUUUAAGUAUGUAAAAACAUAAAAUGAUUGAAAACAAAACAGUUAGUCACACUCUUUAAAAAACAAAAUGUACAAAAAACGUGAAACAAAAAUAAAAAAAACUAAAUAUAUAACUACUUAGUAAUGCUGCCUUUAAAAUAAAUGUUGAUGUCACCACAGUAAACCUUUUUGCUUUUCUAUGGUGGCAGCGAACGUGUUAAUUAUUAAGAAAAAAUUCUCAUUUACCUUUAGGUUGUUUUAAAAGAUGAGUUACUUGCCAUUACAGCAUUUUCUUUAUAAGAAAAAACAAAUAUUGUAUUUUAAUUGAAAAUAACUUGUAAAUAAUGUAGCUUACUUUGGUAAAUAAAGUUAAUAUUUUGUAGUACUGCGCCUCAUUAAGUGCAUCCUAAUUUAUUGCUGUUUCAUUUAAAGUUUGCGAAAACAGAAUUUAAAACAAAUUUCCGUAAAAGGAAAAAAAUCCUUUGUGCAGUAACAUUCAUUCAUCAUCAGCAGCAUUACGUCGCACUGCGCAUGAGCGAUUCUAAAAGCAGCAGGUAUAUUAACAGCAGCGACAUUACGUAGUUAUAUCGUGCAACUAAAGAGCUACGCUGUUAGGGGGGUUAAGUUAGGAUAUUUAUCAAAUGCAUUAUAUUAAAAGGUAUAUCAGCAAGGAGGAACAACUAAAGACAGCAUUUUAAUAUUUACAUUUAGAUUUUAGGUUACUUAUUUAUAUUAAGUAAUUAAUAAAGAAUUGAAAAAUAAGCAAA